rnacentral:rRNA from 1 species
CGACCGGCGCACGGGUGAGUAACGCGUAUCCAACCUUCCCAUUACUGUGGGAUAACCUGCCGAAAGGCAGACUAAUACCACAUAGUCUUCGAUGACGGCAUCAGAUUUGAAGUAAAGAUUUAUCGGUAAUGGAUGGGGAUGCGUCUGAUUAGCUUGUUGGUGGGGUAACGGCCCACCAAGGCGACGAUCAGUAGGGGUUCUGAGAGGAAGGUCCCCCACAUUGGAACUGAGACACGGUCCAAACUCCUACGGGAGGCAGCAGCC